rnacentral:rRNA from 1 species
AUUGAACGCUGGCGGCAGGCCUAACACAUGCCAGUCGAGCGAGCGGCGGACGGGUGAGUAAUGUAUGGGAAUCUGCCCUAUAGAGGGGGAUAACUACUGGAAACGGUGGCUAAUACCGCAUACUCUCGGAUGUACCCAUAUGGGAUUAGCUAGUAGGUGGGGUAACGGCUCACCUAGGCGACGAUCUCUAGCUGGUCUGAGAGGAUGAUCAGCCACACUGGAACUGAGACACGGCCCAGACUCCUACGGGAGGCAGCAGUGGGGAAUAUUGCACAAUGGGCGCAAGCCUGAUGCAGCCAUGCCGCGUGUAUGAAGAAGGCCUUAGGGUUGUAAAGUACUUUCAGCGGGGAGGCGUUACCCGCAGAAGAAGCACCGGCGAACUCCGUGCCAGCAGCCGCGGUAAUUC